UACGUAGGGGGCUAGCGUUGUCCGGAUUUAUUGGGCGUAAAGAGCGUGUAGGCGGCCAGAUAGGUCUGCUGUGAAAACUCGAGGCUUAACCUCGAGAUGUCGGUGGAAACCAUCUGGCUAGAGUCCGGAAGAGGAGAGUGGAAUUCCUGGUGUAGCGGUGAAAUGCGCAGAUAUCAGGAGGAACACCCGUGGCGAAAGCGGCCCUCUGGGACGGUACUGACGCUGAGACGCGAAAGCGUGGGGAG
rnacentral:rRNA from 1 species